GAUCAUGGCUCAGGAUGAACGCUGGCGGCGUGCUUAACACAUGCAAGUCGAACGGAGUUUUAAACGGAAGUCCUCGGAUGGAAGUUUAGAAACUUAGUGGCGGACGGGUGAGUAACGCGUGGGUAACCUGCCUCAUACAGGGGGAUAACAGUCGGAAACGAUUGCUAAAACCGCAUAACAUAGCGAAACCGCAUGAUUUUGCUAUCAAAUAUUUAUAGGUAUGAGAUGGGCCCGCGUCUGAUUAGCUAGUUGGUGGGGUAAUGGCCUACCAAGGCGACGAUCAGUAGCCGGCUUGAGAGAGUGACCGGCCACAUUGGGACUGAGACACGGCCCAAACUCCUACGGGAGGCAGCAGUGGGGAAUAUUGGACAAUGGGGGAAACCCUGAUCCAGCGACGCCCGCGUGAGUGAAGAAGUAUUUCGGUAUGUAAAGCUCUAUCAGCAGGGAAGAUAAUGACAGUACCUGACUAAGAAGCCCCGGCUAACUACGUGCCAGCAGCAGC
rnacentral:rRNA from 1 species